rnacentral:rRNA from 1 species
AUGUAUGUCGAUGCUCUUGAUUUGUCCACCGUUGACUUUACCGGGAUAGGUGGCCCGCCGCCUGCACAUAAGUUUGAUGUCUCUGCAUGGACGGACGCUGCUGGCAAGGCUAUGCUUGCCGUAGACAAGAUAACCAACACGAAAUAUGGAAAACUGCAGCUAAUGGCCAAGAAUAUUGUAGACUACAUUAUGUUUGGUGGGCCACAAAACUUUGGCAAGUGGAUGGAUGUGCAUUCAGCUCCAUCUUGUCAUACUGAGGCGAGGGCACCUGUUGAGCAUCUAGUUGGGCAGUUUGCCUCCGGCAUGACCAGCUUGCUUGGGAAGUUGGUUGAGGGUUGGACUACAAUUAAUGUCUCAGACAGCGACACGGUUGCGAGGCAAUUCACAUCAUUCGUUAAAGAACAGACACACCAACCAACUGGUUGCCGUGGCCGGUACGACUACAAUAGCUCACCGGAGCUUCCUGACAUGCAAGAUGAUCUAGAUGGAGACGCUGGUCUCGACAAGGACGAUGACGAUGACAUGGAGAAUGUGCAACAUGCAACCGACGACGAUGAACAUGGUGAAGUUCGUGCAGGUGGUACGAAGGGUAAGGCUGCAGUAGAUGUCCCUCCAGUGGAGGAAGCAGUUGAACAAACAGGUGCGGGAGACACGGGGGUGUCGCCUUCAAAGGGGGGCAGAGUUCCAGAGGAUGUUGGGCAGGGCUCUGUUGGCAAGAGGUCUAGGACCGAUCCCGUAGCUACUAGGAGGAGCAAGGCGACAGCUGGUGGACAAGCAGUUAAGAAGAAACAAGCACCAACGCCAACCCGUGCUUGUGCUCGAUUGAACAAGGGAGCUCCCACUGUUGGUGACACCACUUCCACUAGGUCGUCUCCUCGUAUGUCGACGUCAAACACUGGUGAUCAUGUCGUGUUGGAAGACUUGAGGAAGACAAUCAAGAAGGUGAAGAAGACUACUACACGCGUGACCAAGAAGAACCGUAGAGACCCACUCGAACGCAUCCAUUCAAAGCUGUCGACAGGUGGCAACUCAGAUGUUCAUGAGACGCCAGUCAAGAAAACUGUUGGGGAAUGUAGUAAUUUCAAAAUUUUCCUACGCACACGCAAGAUCAUGGUGAUGCAUAGCAACGAGAGGCUAGAGUGUUGUCCACGUAUCCUCGUAGACCGUAAGCAGAAGCGUUAUGAGAACACGGUUGACAUAGUCGUACAUCUUCACAUUUGA